rnacentral:rRNA from 1 species
AUGGCGCCGUCGGUGCCGAGGAAGAAGCGCAAGGUGAGCCUCCCGAAGAACGAGGAGGUCACGGCCAGGAUCUUCGAGAAGCACCGCUCCAUGGCGGCGCAGCAGCCGGCCAGCCUCCUAGACCACCAGGCUCGCGCGCUCUGCGCCGCCUACACCGGUGUCUACGCCGCCAAGGAGCCCGUCCGGACCCCCGGCGACCUGGCCCGUCUCAAGGGAGUUGGAGGUUGGGUUGUUGACGUCAUGGAAGACUCCUUUCAGGGUCCAGCCUUGAUUUGUCCCCUUCGAGAAGUAAUACACCAGGAGAAACGGAACACACUAAACAAACCUUAUGUGCCACGGUUGAAAUCAGCUGCUUAUGCAAUAAUGAUCACACUCUACAUGGAAAUGGAAAGAGGGAAGGAAUUUAUGAUGAGGCAAGAGCUUAUUGACGCCGCUGAGGCCAGUGGUCUGUCACAACAUGCAAUAGACCCAAACAACAGUAGGAAUUCUUGGAAUGAUGGUUACAGUUACACUGGAUGGAAUAGCAUGAAGACGUUAACAAAUAAGAAUCUGGUUGAGAAAAAGAGUAAUCCUGCAAAGUAUUACCUAACAGAAAAAGGCAAAGAGACAGCUCGUGAUUGUCUCGCACGAUCUGGAUUGGACGGUCCUGCAGGACCUUUAACGUCGGCCGGUCAUCCUGUAGUUGUGCUCAGUGAUGCAGGUUCUGAUGAAUAUGAUGGAAGCAGUCCCCUGCAUCCAGACGAGGACCCAACGCACAACCAUCUAAUAUGGCAGUGGCGAGGGGCGGUGGUGUGGAUCUCUGCAAGCAAGUCUGGGAAGUUGGUGUUGCACCACUGUCCACCGACCGUCUCGCGAAAGCAGGACCAUAGGAAUUGGGCUGUGGAGCAGGAGAAGAAGAUGUGGUUAGCAUCCUCCACCGUGCCACACAGGGGACAUAUCCUGGAGUCCCAAGCGGCCACCUCAAGGGGGCCGAAGUGGCGCCGGAAAGCGAGACGCCCUAAGUCAAUAAGGGUCGUCUUGACAGAGAACCGAGGGUCAACCGCUAUGGAGAAUAGUUCAGGGAAUCGGGCGGGUUCUGCUGAAAAGUCUUUACUAGCUAUGCCACCUCAUCAAUCUAAUGACAGUUUUCUGAAAGCUUAUGAAGUGGUGCCCCGUUCCAGAAGAAAAGUUGUUGAUAAUAUACGCUCGCAGUUUAAUAUUCCUGUAGAGAUUAAACACUUGCCUGUUGGAGAUGCUCUUUGGAUUGCUCGCCAUAAAGAACUUGACAUGGAGUAUGUUCUUGAUUUCAUUGUUGAAAGAAAAAAUGUGGAUGAUUUUCUUGGCUCAAUUAAAGACAACAGAUACAAAGAUCAAAAACUAAGACUGAAGAAAUGUGGGUUAAGGAAGCUAAUAUAUCUAGUUGAAGGGGAUGUAAACACUGUAGAUGGAUCAGAGAGCGUUAAAACGGCAACCACUAGGUAUGAUGACACUGAAAAUAAAUACGGCCACCUCACGGGCUCUAUAAUUAAUUAUUACAGCAUGAACUUCUCUGCUGGCGCUGAUACCUCUCGACUUUGCCUGACCUACGAUGAGUUUGUGAAGAGGUGUUCUGACCUUGAGAAGGUCACUCUGAGCGAUAUAUUCGCCCUUCAGCUUAUGCAGGUGCCACAAGUGACAGAAGAAGAUGCUCUUGCUGUCACGAGUCUCUACCCCACUCUUCUCUCGCUUGCUAAGGUGUACACCAUGCUUGAGGAGAUGCUGAAGAACAAGAGCGGCAUGGUCAAUGCGGGGGCUAGCAAGAACAUUUUCAAACUCAUCUGGGCGGAAGGAUGA